UACGUAGGGGGCAAGCGUUGUCCGGAUUUAUUGGGCGUAAAGAGCGUGUAGGCGGUUUGGUAGGUCCGUUGUGAAAACUCGAGGCUCAACCUCGAGACGCCGAUGGAAACCAUCAGACUAGAGUCCGGAAGAGGAGAGUGGAAUUCCUGGUGUAGCGGUGAAAUGCGCAGAUAUCAGGAGGAACACCAAUGGCGAAGGCAGCUCGCUGGGACGUGACUGACGCUGAGACGCGAAAGCGUGGGGAGCAAACAGG
rnacentral:rRNA from 1 species